rnacentral:lncRNA from 10 species
CGUGAUCUCGACUCACUGCAACCUCCGCCUCCUGGGAUCAAGUGAUUCUCGUGCCUCAGCCUCCUGAGUAGCCGGGACUACAGUUGUCCCUUGGUGUGGGAUUGCUUCCAGUACCUCUGUGUGUAACAAAAGCUGCACCAUUCAAGUCCCACAGUUGCCCUGCGAAACCUCUGUAUAUGAAAAGUUGGCCCUCCAUGUACAUGGGUUUCCCAUCCUGUUGGCAUUCUUCUUGUUUCGUCUCCUCCUCCUUUCCCUGGAUGAUCUUAUUUCCUCCCUGGUCUUUAACCAUCACCUGCAGGCUGACAGCUCCCAAAUCUCUAUCUUCAAUCCAGAUGUCUGUCCCGGGCUCCAGUUUUGUGGUUCCACCUGAGACCUUUCCACCUAUAUGCUUUACAGGUCACAGAAUUUUCCACACUCCUUGACAGAGGUGCUUAACCCUUAUCCAUCAGCAUUCUCAGACAGCACCUCCGGUUAGGGACAGUAUCUGACCGUCCGACAUCCCUGCAGCCCCCAUGUGUCACACAGACUCAGCCUCAGGUAGAUGGUUUCCGUAGAUGGUGGCUUUCUUUGGACCCUUGACAUCAACCAGUUACUAUUUGCUCAGCAAGGCCCACAUUUUCCCGGUGAAGCCACAGAACCACAGGGAGAAACCCAUGGACUUCGCCUCUCUCUCUAGGGGACCAGAUGUGCAGAGGUAAUGAAUACCAGGGAAUCAGGAAACCACUGGAUCAGUUCUUUGAGCCACAGAACAACACUCAUCCCAGCAGCUGGGAAGCUAUCUGCAAAAGUCCAUCUGCAGAAAGGGCUUCCUGGUCUUGCGUGUGGCUGGGCCAUUUCUCUGGAUGCAGGUUUUUCAUUAUACAGUCUUCUCAAAGAACCACCUGCUCUCAACACC